GAUGAACGCUGGCGGCGUGCUUAACACAUGCAAGUCGAACGGAAAGGCCCAAGCUUGCUUGGGUCCUCGAGUGGCGAACGGGUGAGUAACACGUGGGUGAUCUGCCCUGCACUUCGGGAUAAGCCUGGGAAACUGGGUCUAAUACCGGAUAGGACCACUUCUUGGAUGUUGUGGUGGAAAGUUUUUUCGGUGUGGGAUGAGCUCGCGGCCUAUCAGCUUGUUGGUGGGGUAAUGGCCUACCAAGGCGUCGACGGGUAGCCGGCCUGAGAGGGUGUACGGCCACAUUGGGACUGAGAUACGGCCCAGACUCCUACGGGAGGCAGCAGUGGGGAAUAUUGCACAAUGGGCGCAAGCCUGAUGCAGCGACGCCGAGUGGGGGAUGACGGCCUUCGGGUUGUAAACUCCUUUCGCUAGGGACGAAGCUUUUUGUGACGGUACCUGGAGAAGAAGCACCGGCUAACUACGUG
rnacentral:rRNA from 1 species